AUGGCGGUAUCCGAAAAGCCUGGAACAGAGUAGGAA
rfam:Chryseobacterium sp. SCN 40-13 ABS44_C0053, whole genome shotgun sequence.